ACUUUUUAUUGUUUGCAGUUAUAUUAACAUUUAUAAAAAUUCUAAAUUACAUUACAUAUUUUUAAAUCGGCUCCAUAUAUAGCCUACGAAACUUUGGUCAUUAUGUAAAGCGUUCAAAAAAUCGGAAUACUUUUCAUUGAAUGGAAGUUCAGCCCAGUUGAAAUUACCUGUGCUACAAUGGUGGCUGAAACUCAGUUCGAGCUACAACUCCAUGUUAUAUAUAUCAACUUCAAAUACGGUAAUGAGAAUUACUAAAUUGAUACUCAACUUUAAACAAUGUAUAUACAUGCAGGUCAGCACAUUGCUGGCACCACAAAAACUUAAUUAUGUUAACUUUGUUAUCUUUGGAGAUUUUUCACCUGUUAUCCAACGUCCGUCGUGUUGACAGAAUAAGUAAAGUAAGUACAUGUCAUCGAUGACAUGUAUACUCGAUUACAGCGAUGCAUGAUUGUAAUGAAAAUAAAUCAGUACGAUCUAAUUAGCCAUUUUCCAAUCGAGCAGUGGACUGGGUCUAGUCGCU